GACGUAGGGGACGAGCGUUGUCCGGAUUUAUUGGGCGUAAAGCGCGCGCAGGCGGCCGUGUAAGUCGGGUGUGAAAUCCCGGAGCUCAACUCCGGAACUGCACUCGAAACUGCACGGCUCGAGGUAGGUAGGGGAGAUCGGAAUUCCUGGUGUAGCGGUGGAAUGCGCAGAUAUCAGGAGGAACACCGGUGGCGAAGGCGGAUCUCUGGGCCUUACCUGACGCUCAGGCGCGAAAGCUAGGGGAGCGAACAGG
rnacentral:rRNA from 1 species